UUACCUAAUUUUUCACCACCAUAACAAACCACCUUCCAAUAAAUCACUGAAAGCAAAGGGAGUCAAAAUUUUUUAAACAAAGUAGUCUAAAAAAACAACAACAAAAACGAAAAUCAGAUAAAUGACUUUUUAAAACAUAAAUCGAUGUGAAUUUAAACGUUUUUUAAUACAACAUCUCCACACUCUUUGGCCCUUAAUGAUAACAAAUUGACCAUUCGGAGUAGUUAACAAAUGCCUGCACAUUAAUUAUAAAUCGAUGUCAGAGGUGAAAGGUUACACAAAACUGGACAGAAGAAGAUUUUUCAAAAAAACAAAGUGAUUUUUUGAAAUGAUUUCCCGUAUCUAAAUCUUAGAAUGGUUUUUGAUGGAUAUCAUUCAACCAUCAUAGAAAUUUUGACAGAUGUCUUAUUGAGAGUGAUGGGUAAUAGAGUAACUAGCCCCCUGAUACAAUGACAGAUUUGAAUGAGUAUCUUAAGGCCAUGGCUUGAAAAUAAGACUUCCAUGGAGGCAUUCACCGUGAAUAAAGCGUAUAUAACCAUCAUGGUUAUAAAAAUACAGUUAAGGUGUACCACCAUCAUCUUUCGAUUCUUGUUUUAUUGAAAAUCGAUUUUUCACCAUGAAUACAAAAAAAACAAAAACAAAAAAAAGGAAAUAACUUAAAUUUAAAAACAAGGUAACUUUGAAGCUCUCUUAUGCCUGACUAUGAUGGUUGAUGUUGCCUCUGUCCGUUCAAUGUAGGUGGUAAAAAUGAUAAAUUCUGUGGCCCUGAAAGUUGGCAUGUUGUCCGUGCUCUGAUGUCAAUACGAAGUGCGGGGCAAUAUAUUUCUAUACCAUCAUGGAAUGGAUGAUGAUGAUGAUGGUGGUGAUGGUAAUGGGGAUUAUAACAAUACGAUACAAAUGAAUAAAAUUACAUACACACAA